UACAGAGGGUGCGAGCGUUAAUCGGAAUUACUGGGCGUAAAGCGCGCGUAGGCGGCUUUGCAAGUCGGGUGUGAAAUCCCCAGGCUUAACCUGGGAACUGCAUUCGAGACUGCAUUGCUAGAGUAUGGGAGAGGGAAGUGGAAUUUCCGGUGUAGCGGUGAAAUGCGUAGAUAUCAGGAGGAAUACCGAUGGCGAAGGCAGGUCUCUGGGCUGACACUGACGCUCAUGCACGAAAGCGUGGGGAGCAAACAGG
rnacentral:rRNA from 1 species